rnacentral:rRNA from 2 species
CGGUCCAGACUCCUACGGGAGGCAGCAGUGGGGAAUAUUGCACAAUGGGCGCAAGCCUGAUGCAGCCAUGCCGCGUGUGUGAAGAAGGCCUUCGGGUUGUAAAGCACUUUCAGCGGGGAGGAAGGCGGUGAGGUUAAUAACCUCACCGAUUGACGUUACCCGCAGAAGAAGCACCGGCUAACUCCGUGCCAGCAGCCGCGGUAAUACGGAGGGUGCAAGCGUUAAUCGGAAUUACUGGGCGUAAAGCGCACGCAGGCGGUCUGUCAAGUCGGA